rnacentral:rRNA from 1 species
UACGUAGGUGGCAAGCGUUGUCCGGAUUUACUGGGCGUAAAGAGCGCGCAGGCGGUCGUUCAAGUCGAGUGUGAAAGCCCCCGGCUCAACUGGGGAGGGUCACUCGAUACUGAUCGACUCGAAGGCAGGAGAGGGAAGCGGAAUUCCCGGUGUAGUGGUGAAAUGCGUAGAUAUCGGGAGGAACACCAGUGGCGAAGGCGGCUUCCUGGCCUGUUCUUGACGCUGAGGCGCGAAAGCCAGGGGAGCAAACGGG